UACGGGGGGAGCAAGCGUUGUUCGGAUUUACUGGGCGUAAAGGGCGCGUAGGCGGCCACCGCAAGUCGACUGUGAAAUCUCCGGGCUUAACCCGGAAAGGUCAGCCGAUACUGCGGGGCUAGAGUGCAGAAGGGGCAACUGGAAUUCUCGGUGUAGCGGUGAAAUGCGCAGAUAUCAGGAGGAACACCAAUGGCGAAGGCAGCUCGCUGGGACGGUACUGACGCUGAGGCGCGAAAGCGUGGGGAGCAAACAGG
rnacentral:rRNA from 1 species